GACGAACGCUGGCGGCGUGCCUAAUACAUGCAAGUAGAACGCACAGUUUAUACCGUAGCUUGCUACACCAUAGACUGUGAGUUGCGAACGGGUGAGUAACGCGUAGGUAACCUGCCUGGUAGCGGGGGAUAACUAUUGGAAACGAUAGCUAAUACCGCAUAAUAUUAAUUAUUGCAUGAUAAUUGAUUGAAAGAUGCAACUGCAUCACUACCAGAUGGACCUGCGUUGUAUUAGCUAGUAGGUGAGGUAACGGCUCACCUAGGCGACGAUACAUAGCCGACCUGAGAGGGUGAUCGGCCACACUGGGACUGAGACACGGCCCAGACUCCUACGGGAGGCAGCAGUAGGGAAUCUUCGGCAAUGGACGAAAGUCUGACCGAGCAACGCCGCGUGAGUGAAGAAGGUUUUCGGAUCGUAAAGCUCUGUUGUAAGAGAAGAACGGGUGUGAGAGUGGAAAGUUCACACUGUGACGGUAUCUGACCAGAAAGGGACGGCUAACUACGUG
rnacentral:rRNA from 1 species